rnacentral:rRNA from 1 species
AUUGAACGCUGGCGGCAGGCCUAACACAUGCAAGUCGAGCGGCAGCGGGAAAGUAGCUUGCUACUCUUGCCGGCGAGCGGCGGACGGGUGAGUAAUGCCUGGGAAAUUGCCCAGUCGAGGGGGAUAACAGUUGGAAACGACUGCUAAUACCGCAUACGCCCUACGGGGGAAAGCAGGGGACCUUCGGGCCUUGCGCGAUUGGAUAUGCCCAGGUGGGAUUAGCUAGUUGGUGAGGUAAUGGCUCACCAAGGCGACGAUCCCUAGCUGGUCUGAGAGGAUGAUCAGCCACACUGGAACUGAGACACGGUCCAGACUCCUACGGGAGGCAGCAGUGGGGAAUAUUGCACAAUGGGGGAAACCCUGAUGCAGCCAUGCCGCGUGUGUGAAGAAGGCCUUCGGGUUGUAAAGCACUUUCAGCGAGGAGGAAAGGUUGAUGCCUAAUACGUAUCAACUGUGACGUUACUCGCGGAAGAAGCACCGGCUAACUACGUGCCAGCCGCCGCUGUAACAC